rnacentral:rRNA from 1 species
GAUCAUGGCUCAGGAUGAACGCUGGCGGCGUGCUUAACACAUGCAAGUCGAACGGUGCUUAAUGAAACCUAGUGAUUUAAGCACAGUGGCGGACGGGUGAGUAACGCGUGGGUAACCUGCCGCAUGCAGGGGGACAACAGAGGGAAACUUCUGCUAAUACCGCAUAAGCGCACGGGAUCGCAUGAUCCGGUGUGAAAAGAUUUGUCGGCAUGCGAUGGACCCGCGUCUGAUUAGGCAGUUGGUGAGGUAACGGCCCACCAAACCUACGAUCAGUAGCCGGCCUGAGAGGGUGAACGGCCACAUUGGGACUGAGACACGGCCCAAACUCCUACGGGAGGCAGCAGUGGGGAAUAUUGCACAAUGGGGGAAACCCUGAUGCAGCGACGCCGCGUGAGUGAAGAAGCAUUUCGGUGCGUAAAGCUCUGUCAGCAGGAAAGAAAAUGACGGUACCUGACCAAGAAGCCCCGGCUAACUACGUGCCAGCAGCUGC